GGGGAUUUAGCUCAGCGGCAUAAGCGCCUGCCUUGCAAGCAGGCAGUCUUGAGUUCGAUUCCUGGUACCCA
rnacentral:tRNA from 1 species